CCGCUCUCUCCUCGAUCUUCCUCACCUUCUCUGCCCCAUGCCCAAAUUCUCCACCUUUUCUGCCUCUCUCGUCCCAUAUUGCUGCCUGUGAAAUCUAAUGCCCUUUUCUUCUGAUCCACCACCUCCUCCUACGAGGGUGGUGAUCACGGCAAGAUCCUAAUAGGAACCAAUCCGAUCAAAUCUACCUCCAUCUCGACUCCUGAAGGAAAUAUGAAGGGAUCUCCUCCUCUUCUUUGCUUCAAGAAACAAGGCGUUGGAUUGGAGAGAGAGACGGUUGCUUGGGCUUCCCCGGAGGCCCCAGCACCUCUGUCUCGUUGGUGAUCAACUCUACAAGAUACGUAUACCAAAUGUAUUUGUUGAUGCAAGUCUUAUGAUUUAUUGAUACACACUUCAAAUUGAGGAUUUGAGGCUUCCAUGAUUUGUGGGUCCUUGAUUGUGAGAUCUGAUAGAGGGUGUGAGUGGGGACUGAACCAUGAACAAGGUAUGGAGGCUUGUUCCUACAAGAGAAAUUGAAUCGCAGCGAGGUAGACUAUGAACACAUAUGGAAUCAAGAGUGCUGUCCAUGAUAAUUUGGUUCUAUGAUUACUGUGCAGAAUUAUAAGAAGACAUGGAUGCAAAUCAGAGAAUUCAAGAAAAAGAUUUUGAUCUUCUACUUUUGAUUUUUCUCUUUUUCUUUUUGCUCAGUUUUAUAUAGUAAAUACACUCAUGGACCGUGCACAAAAAUAAAUUCAUUUGCAAUCCCUCUCUCAUUUAUUUUACUUGUUUAAGGAAAAAUCUCAUUCUCAGUUAUCAAAAGUCCUUUGAAUCCUUGCCCAUCAGCGAAAUAUCCUACCAUGCAAAUCUUAAUUCUUCCAUUUUAGUUCUUAUUGAAUUUUUUAUCUGUCUUCAGUAAAGGCUAUCCAAAUUCAUCAUGUUACAUUUCUCAAAUCUAAUAUAUAUAUUAGAAAGCAGAAAGUGAGAGAAGAUUGGUCUGCAAAUGAAGCUGUUCACGUAAGUAGUUUAUUUUUUUCAUUUUUUCUAUGCAUGCUAUGUGCACUCUUCUAUCUUAAAGCAUCGAAUGUACAUAUUCUAUUCUUAAUGAAUGAAAUUAAAAAUUAUUUAUAUCUAUUAACUGGUGUUAUUAAGAUUUUCAAUUAUGAACAUCAAGGAUAUGAAUGGAUAUGUUAUUCAUAAAUUUUUUUAUAAAAAUAUUAAAAUUUAUUUAUAUCUAUUAAUUGGUAUUAUUAAAAUUUUUAUGAAUAUUAAAGAUAUGAAUGGAUAUAUUAUUAAAUUAUUUUUAUAAAUAUAAUCAAUUAUAUGGAUAUGAUCUACAAACCUGCGCGCAAUGCGCGAGCUUAAAAACUAGUUUAAAACAAAAUCAAACAUCACAAUUUUAUUGAUCUUAACAACUUAUAUCCAUCAUCUAUGAUUAGAUCCCAAGUACUAUGUUCUCAAUAAAUCAAUGAACUGGUGCAAGGAGAGCAUGAAGGCAUCCUAGUUGUCAAUAUACCAUUUUUGAUCAUCAUCCAUCAGAAGCAAAAUCCAAUGGGUCCACAUGUU